rnacentral:lncRNA from 1 species
CAGCAGAUGAGGAAGUGGCCGACAGGAGGCCCUGGGGACUUCUCUCCGGCCCUGAUCCCUUUGAACCCUUCACUGCUGCCCGCCUGGCUCCCACUGAGUCCUUAGCCAGGAUGGAGGCUGUUGUGAACUUGUACCAGGAAUUGAUGAAGUGUGCAGAUCCCCGGAUCCAAAACUAUCCUCUGAUGGGAUCCCCCUUGCUAAUAACAUCCAUCCUUCUGACCUAUGUGUACUUCGUCCUAUCACUUGGGCCUCGAAUCAUGGCUAAUCGGAAGCCUUUCCAACUUCGAGGCUUCAUGAUUGUCUACAAUUUCUCACUGGUGACACUCUCCCUCUACAUUGUCUAUGAGGUAGGCUGGAAUGCCUAGGCUGUAGUUCCUGUCUGCAGGGUAAGAGGUCAGGUACAGGGCAUGGGCCAGAGCAUGGCAAUUCCCUAUUCCAGAGGUUGUUAGUGAAGAGGAAGGGUUGUUGGAGAGGGAAUGAGGGGUCUGAUCCACUCUUUCUUAGUUCCUCAUGUCUGGCUGGCUGAGUACGUAUACCUGGCGCUGUGACCCUGUAGACUUUUCCAAUAACCCUGAAGCACUUCGGGUAAGUAGAGCCUUAGGUAACCAUAAUUAUGAGCAACCUAGAUAAGGGAGUCAGUAAGACCUGUGUGGCUGGCCAGUUAGCAGAGGCUCUUUGGAUAGUGUGUAAAGUAUUAAGAUUGGUCUACCUUCCCAGAUGGUUCGAGUGGCCUGGCUCUUCAUGCUUUCCAAGGUCAUUGAACUCAUGGACACAGUGAGUAGUCACAGCUGCUAGAACUUGGGAGGAGUGGAAAGGAAGGCACUGGCACUCAGCCUGUCCUCCAUUCUUCUCUCAGGUGAUAUUUAUUCUCCGGAAGAAGGAUGGGCAAGUGACCUUCCUCCAUGUCUUCCACCACUCGGUGCUUCCCUGGAGCUGGUGGUGGGGGAUAAAGAUUGCUCCAGGAGGAAUGGGCUCUUUCCAUGCCAUGAUAAACUCCUCUGUACACGUCGUCAUGUACCUCUACUACGGAUUGUCUGCCCUGGGCCCUGUGGCUCAGCCCUACCUUUGGUGGAAGAAACACAUGACAGCCAUUCAGCUGAUCCAGUUCGUCCUGGUCUCACUGCACAUCAGC